rnacentral:rRNA from 1 species
UACGUAGGGGGCAAGCGUUGUCCGGAAUCAUUGGGCGUAAAGAGCGUGUAGGCGGCCCGGUAAGUCCGCUGUGAAAGUCCAGGGCUCAACCCUGGGAUGCCGGUGGAUACUGUCGGGCUCGAGUCCGGAAGAGGAGUGUGGAAUUCCUGGUGUAGCGGUGAAAUGCGUAGAUAUCUGGAGGAAUACCGGUGGCGAAGGCGGCAUCCUGGACCGACAUUGACGCUGAGGAACGAAAGCUAGGGGAGCAAACGGG